UGGAGAGGGCGAGAGUGGUGACUAAAGAGAGGAGCCUUUCCUCCCCUUUUGCCUGCGCUCCGGCGCGCGGAGAGAGGGAGGUAGGGAGAGAGACAAACACAGAGCUAGAGAAAUUGAAAGAGAAACAUUCUCGAAGGCAAAGAGUUGAAAGGUGAAUCUACUAAGAAAAGAAUAACAGAGUGCAAUUAGCCAUGGAACUACAUCUCCAUCUGCCUCCUUUAAAGGAUGAGUCCUUUAAAGAGCCUUUGGAAGGAAUUGGGCCAUGAGAAGAGCCCUCAUGAAUGGGAUUAGUUCCCUUAUAAGAAGAGACACCAAGGAAGUGAUCUUUCUCUGCCCUCUGCUAUGUGAAGACAAGGUCAUCUGCAGUUUUUUGUUGUUGUUGAUGAUCUUCCUGUCAUAGACAAUGCUGUAACAAACAGACUAGAGAUAAUAAGCUCACUUUACCUCAGGACCUUUGCAGCAGCUCUGCCCUGUGCUUAGAUUGAUCUGUCACGAAACCUUAAAGUCUGGCUGAUUCUCAUUCUUCAGAUUCCAGGGCAAGUGCUAAGUCCUAAGUGCUAAGUGGUUACAAGGGACCCCAGAAUCAUGCUGGAGGUGAAACAGUGACAGAACGGGCACUUCCAGUAAGAAACUGAAGACUGGCUGCACAUCAAUUCACUCAGCGACUGGAGGUAGAGCUUUUGGAAACAGACUCUAUGACUACAUGCAGAAACGCUAGCAAUUGUUUCAUCUGGGUCCUAUAGAAGACUGUGACCUUCUGGGGAGGAUCUGUCAAUUCACUGAUGUUAGAAAAGUAACCAGCUUUAACUCAGGGCAGACUGACUUGGAAUAAUGUAAAACCAAACCAGGAUAUCAUAAGGUAAUCUAAGAGCUUAUGUAGAAAAAGCUAAAAUACAAAAUUUCAAUUAAUAUUAGCUCUAAUCAAUAGUCACUGGAGAAAAUAGUUAUAUGGGUUUAAAUUGUGAACUUUUGAAGUAGUUAUAUAGAAAAGAAAAACCUUCAAGUCUUUAUGUUUUAGAAGUUUGAACACAGAGUGCUUCAGCAAAGAAGAAUCCCUUCUCCAAAUCCUUUGCUGUUUGUGAAAUAUUUAUGCAGGUGAAAAUGAAAGAAAUGUUUCCAUAUGAAGAAGUUAGUAAUGGAACUCGUCAUUCUCUUUUUAUAGUCAUAUAUUGACUGUAUGUCAUUCAGUAUCCUUGGCUAUUAGAGAAUGGCCACAGCACAGAAUGACUGGGAGCAGAGAUAGUCUCCAAAUAGUCUGGAUUUGAUAUUUAAAUGUCUUAAAUAUACAUGUCAAUUAUAGAAAUAAUAUUAUGAACAUGGCCAGUUAGAAUUUGAAGCAUUACAACAUCAGAGCAGUCACAUUUUAUUGUAAUAAAAUGAAUGUGGGCUUUGGGGCAGACUUACUUGUAUUCAAAUUCAGGUGCUGCCACUUUGAGUGAGUCUUUAAGCAAAAAAAUUUUUUUUUCAUUUUUAAUGUUUAUGGGUACAUAAUAGAUAUAUAUCUAUAUACUAUAUAUAGAUAUAUACUUACGGAGUACACGAGACUUUUUAACACAGGCAUACAAUGCUGGACAAAAAUUUUUUAUUUCACUUUAAUAGUAAUUUGUAGUAGUAGCACAGUCAAAACAGUAAUAAUAGUAUUUAUUGAGCAUUUACUGUGUUCCAGGCAUCAUUCUAAGUUCUUUUCUAUAUUCCUUUAAUUCUCACAAAAUCCAAUGAGAUAAGUAUUAUUAAUAUCCUCAUUUUACAGAAAAAAAUUGUCACCAAUUU
rnacentral:lncRNA from 1 species